GUCCAACAUCUACAGGCCAGGCUGCUCCUUUCCUUUUUACCACUCUGGCUCUGGCAGAUCUUUCUUAUUAGGAGCAAAAUACUUGUCCUAAAGUCCUGAGCUUACUAGUUUCUCUGUAGAACUGGAGUCUCCUAACACAGGAAAUGUAAGUUUUUUAAAAGAUUCUUUAUGUGGAUGCUUUUAUUACAAUCUCUGUCUGGAAACUAACCUCCAGUUUUUUAUGGCGUGCCUUGAUUUCCUCUGUGGAAGAUGAAGUCGCAGCAAGAAUUUUGGACAGUUUGGCAUUUUCUCCUUGCAACCACUCUUCAAAGUCAUGUAGGAGCUUAAGGUGGCUACUUGUAUUUUGUUCUAUCCUCUCCUAUCCUCUCCUGCUG